GAUCUAGAUUGGGAUAAUGAGUACUGCUAAUUCCUCACCACCAUGGUUCGAUUCCACGGCUAGCUCG
rnacentral:tRNA from 1 species